UUUUUUUUUAAAUUAUACUUUAAGUUCUAGGGUACAUGUGCACAACAUGCAGGUUUGUUACAUAUGUAUAAGCUGUUUCACUCUCUAGAAAACCAAAAAGGUGGCAGAAAAAGAUGGUGAAGUCGUGGAAGCAUGUGCACGUUUUUGAAAUAUCUGUUUUAUUUUUUAAAAUGAAUUAGAAUUGAAAUUGUUCCUGCUUAUCACUAACAUUUUAGAAAUACAUUCUUCUGGGUUUAGUUCUAGUAUUCAUUUACUGAGGUAUCAAUUUAUUCACUUAUCUCUUUGUUCUUUAUCCAUUCACAUACCCACACUUGAAUAAUUUAAAUGAGGCUCACCGCAUAUUGUAAAAUACAAAUUAGCCUAUACAAACAAAAUGUUAAAGAGGCAAGUGAUCAGGACAUCACUGAGGGCCAGAGGUGAGGCUUUGUGGUUUAAGUCCUAUGGGUCAGGUCACACAAAGCACCCUUCUGUCCACUCCAAAGAGGAACAUUAUUAUGGCUUUAUCUCUGAUACACCCCAGAAGGAUCUGCAGAGGAAAUUGUGUAGUAGGUGAAGUGUAAGUAGAUGAUAAUGGAAAAAGACAACAGUUAUUCACUGAACUUGAACAAUUCUAACACACAAUCAUUCGUGCAACUCACAUGUUUUGAGCCCUGGCCUUGGCUUAGGAUCUGUGAGCUCCUGGGUUGGACCUUCUCCCAUGCAUCUCCCGCCUCCCCACUCUGGGGUGGCUUCUCGAUGCUUCUCCAGGCUUCCUACUCCCCAGCACCAUGUUUCUCAAGCUCGGCUCUUAACAAUGCCUCUGUCACAUGCUUUCAUUUUAUGUUGCACACCAAUCCUUACAUAUUUAAAAGCAUAAUUUGAGUAUCAGAAGCUACAGUGCAUCUUUCUAAAAACUGAUUUUAAAAAUUCCUGUAGUUUCUAGACAGGGCAGGGUGGAUCACACGUGUAAUCCCAGCACUUUGGGAUGCCACGACAGGAGGUCUUGAGGCCAGAAGUCUGGGAUCAGUCUGGGCAACAUGACCAAAAACCCCAUCUCUACUAAAAAUACAAAAGUUAGCUGGGUGUGGUGGCCCCAGCCUGUAGUUCCAGCUACUCGAGAAGCUGAAGUGGGAAGAUCACUUGAACCUCAGAGGCGGAGGUUGCAGUGAGCUGAGAUCACAGCACUGUACUCAAGCCUGGGCGACAGAGCAAGACUCCAUCAAGAAUGAAAGAAAGAAAGAAUGAAAGAAUGAAUGAAAGAAAGCAGAG
rnacentral:lncRNA from 1 species